rnacentral:lncRNA from 1 species
UUUCAAACCUUAACAACCGCCCAAGAACCUGUACGCGUUAUUUCCUUGUUUAACCGGUCAACUUCCUUUCUGUCCUGUUCGUAAUGUCCGGCAAUCAAUCAUUAGAUUGAUUGCCAAUCACCGGUUACCAUAAAAUCACCAAGUUGCCAUAUCCCGACACUCCUAUAAAUACCCAACCACACCUCCAUAACCGGUACCAUCACUUCAAUCCAUCGCCGGAGAUUUGGAACUCACCGGAAAACCUCGACCUUCCAUCUUUCAUAACCGACCUGCAACAUCGACUGAACCCGACCCGAACCGCCUUCUCGCCGGAACCACCGGAGCCACCCCCACUCGCCGCCGUCCGCCGUCGAACCACCGGGUAAUUCUCUUGUGCAACGACACUUGGAACAAUCCUCAUAUUCUCUUUACAAGAAUCGCAACGCAAUCACUGUAUUGUUAGGUUUAACUAUGUCAAACAUACUCAAACUCGUUUGGGUUGAUUGAUCAAGAUACAAGAAAACAAGCUAGGAUGGCUUAGAAACUCACUCUAGAAAUAAGCUAUUGUUUGAAUUUAUAUUUGAUUGUUGAAACUUUGUAUUAUCCUUUAGAAUUUAAUAAAAUGAUUUAAUUUAUAUU